UACAAGCUAUGAAAAUUUUAUGACCAAAACCACAGAUCAAUUCAAUGGAUGACAUAAAAAACUAAUAAACAAAAUCUGCAGAAAAGUGAUGCAAAAACACAGAUCCAUUGCAUUGUAAAAAGAUCACUAUAACAAGACAUUGAAACCCUAAAUCCCUUCUAGCUUUGAUUUAUGAUUAAACUCAAUAAUAGGGGAAAAUUACAUAGCUAGAAAACUGUGUACGAAACGAUGAAAAAUAAAAAGUUUAAUAAAUUCAGAAUUUGUCGACAACAUCUGUGACUAAACCGCAGAUCAAAGAAAAUUUACAGCUAACGCUACAAACACUAGCUUCACUAAUUACCCUUACAACCUUCACUUCUUCCCUCUCUUAGCUGCUGCCUUCUUGGCUGGAGACUUCGCAGUCUUGGCCUUCGCCGCUGCUUUCACCGGAGUCUUCUUCACAGGUGCAGCCUUCUUCGCCGCCGGCUUGGGUGCAGCAGCUGCAGCCGCUGGUGAAGUCCUCGUCGAGGUCCUUGCAGCCUUGGCAGGCUUAGCAGCUGGCUUGGCUUUGGCAGCUGGCUUGGCUUUGGCAGCAGGUUUCGCCUUAGCAGCAGCUUUAGGCUUCGCGGCAGGCUUGGCCUUGGCUGCUGGCUUGGCUGCGGCAGUCUUAACCGGCUUGGCAGCGGGUUUAGCUUUGGCAGCAG
rnacentral:lncRNA from 1 species